GGUGGCUUAGUGGUUAGAGCAUCCGCCUCGAAUGCGGUAGGUCGAAGUUUCGAACCACGGACUAGUCA